UCCUACGGGAGGCAGCAGUAAGGAAUAUUGGACAAUGGACGAAAGUCUGAUCCAGCCAUGCCGCGUGCAGGAUGACAGCCCUACGGGUUGUAAACUGCUUUUAUACAGGAAGAAACACUCCGACGUGUCGGAGCUUGACGGUACUGUAAGAAUAAGGAUCGGCUAACUCCGUGCCAGCAGCCGCGGUAAU
rnacentral:rRNA from 1 species